GUAAACUCGGUCCGAGUUUACCGAGUUUAACAAAAUUAUCAAAAACUAUGGAAUCUUCUCACUGUUCUCAGUCCUCUCCUCUCCAUCCCGUUAGUCUCACAAAAAUCCCCCCUUUUCCUUUUCCCUUUCCCCAAAUCAACCCUAGCAGAAGCAGAUCUCACAUUCUUUUAUUCUCAAAUCUUAAACCCAGCAGAAGCCAACGCCUUCCACUCUCUUUCUCUCAAAACCCCCAUUUUUUUUCUUUAUUUCGUUUGCCUUUGAUCUGAUUGUCUCCGCCUCUCCGGUCUCUAGUUUCCAGUCUCCACUCCUCUGCUUUGUUUGCUGGAUUCUUUCAUUAGUGGUCAGUUAAAUAAUAUUGAACUUGCUGUUAAUCUUGCAACUGGUGCUGAAAAUCUUCCAGGUAAACACAUUAUUUUUUGUUAAUCUUUUCUUCUUCCUCCUCAUCCAUGGCGAUGAAGUGUCUGAUAUAGAAAAAGACUUGAGUGCCUAUCAUAUUAACAUUUGCUCAUUUGCUGAAUCAUAAGAUCUUUUCUCUUUUGUAAUUUCGCAUGCCUUAUUAACUGUGCUGACAAGUCUUGUAUGUGUAUAUAUAUAUAUAUUGCCAUAUUGGGUUUUUGCAAUCUUUGCAUGUUUGUGUCCUAAUCUGAUAGACGGUACCAAAGAUGUUGCUUUCAAAUGGUUGCUUUCAGUUUCUGGUUUUCAUAAUUUUAAUUGUCCAAGAUCCUUUGUAAAUAUCUAAUGGUUUCGGCAAAUAAUUAAAUAUAUAAAUGAAUCCUCUAAGCUCUAACAGGAGUGAUCCCGUGAUAGAAUUUGAAUGAAUCCUGAAGCCAACCACUUUGGACAGCUAGGAAUUUUAGAGUAUCCUGUUAACUAUUGACGAAAACAAUGUGGAGAUUGCUACAAUGCUGCUACAUCAUAUAUAGCUCCAAAACCCAUCUUUCUUUUUAUUGCAAUUCCCACCAGAAGGGCAGAGCAUGAAAUGAAUGCUUAAUAGUGUCCUGAAUUUUGGUUGCUGUCUACUGUAUUUUUCGAGCCCAUGCUUCCUAUAUUAGCAUAUCUAAGAUGAAGAAACAUACUCCACAACUUGUGAUUAUUGGAAUUCAUAUUAUCUUAGUCAAACUGGAGUUUCACGUUGCAAGAUCAUUGCUUGUUUUGUCAGUGAAGCAAGCUCUACCAUUCUCUUUAAAAGCUCUUUUUAUUUCUCUAAUAUUUGCAAAAGGGCAGAGCAUGAUCUAAUGGUCUCUGUAUGUGUUGCUUUAGCUUUCGGUAUUCCCUGGAAAGUCUGAUAAAUAAUGAGAUAAAAGAACAACUUAUGACGGUAUUGUUGUUUAAAAAAUCUAAUGAACAAAAUUCAUAUUUAUCUCUUGGUAGGCUACAUUUUGCUUAUAAUUUUAAAAUAGUUUCAUUUUAGUUCAUUUAAAAAAUCUAUUUGUUGCCAUGUUGGUUUUUUUGUUAUAUUUUAUUCAAUUCUCAGCACUAUACAUCCGAAUUGGUGUAUAUAUUGAUUCUUGAACUGCUGGAUACAUGCCGAGGAAGAUCAAAGCAAUGAGGUCAUGUUUAGUUUAUAUAACACACCAACAAAUUAUUUGUUUUAAGUUUGUUAAUUUUUAGUUAAUAAAAUUCUAUGGACAUAAUUGUAUUGUAUUGUAUUUUUAAGUUAUUUAAAUCAUGUAUAAAUUUUUAUUUGAAUCAUGUAUUUUAAGUGUUUGGAAAUUUGUAUUGUUUAUUAGUUUAUUUCACUUUUACUUACGAUUUUA